AUACACGCUGGCGGCGUGCAUAACACCUGCAAGCCGAACGAUGAAGAUUAAAAGAUUUCUUCGGAAUGAACUUAAUUGGAUUAGUGGCGGACGGGUGAGUAACGCGUGAGUAACCUGCCUUGUACAAGGGGAUAGCCGUUGGAAACGACGAAUAAUACCCUAUGACAUCAAAUAAUCGCAUGAUAAUUUGAUCAAAGAUUUAUCGGUAUAAGAUGGACUCGCGUCUGAUUAGCUAGUUGGUAGAGUAAAAGCCUACCAAGGCAACGAUCAGUAGCCGGCUUGAGAGAGUGUACGGCCACAUUGGGACUGAGACACGGCCCAGACUCCUACGGGAGGCAGCAGUGGGGAAUUUUGCACAAUGGGGGAAACCCUGAUGCAGCGACGCCGCGUGAUUUAGAAGGCCUUCGGGUUGUAAAAAUCUUUUGUAUGGGAAGAAAAUGACAGUACCAUACGAAUAAGGACCGGCUAAUUACGUG
rnacentral:rRNA from 1 species